GUUUUUAAAAGUUGCUUAUAAAUUAAUUGGUGAAAAAUAGAAAAAAUAAAAAAGGUAAUUAAGAUAAAAAUUAGUAAUGUUUAAUAAAUGUUUUGUUUGGCUAUAGACAAAAAGUACUGUAAGGGAAAUCUAAAAAUAAAUAAAUUUUUAUAGUAAUUGUUAAUAAAUGUACCUUGUGUAUCAUGGAAAAUUUAAAUAAUUUAAGGAUUUUUAAAAGUCUCGAAGUAAAUAAUAGUUAACUUAAUAAAAAAGUUUAUGUUGCAAAAUGAAAUUUUAAUAUAAAGUUAAAGGUGAAAUGUUCGACGAGUUUUAUUGUAUCUGGUUUCUUAAGAAAUAAAUAUAAUUUGUAAUUUGGACUUUAAAAGUUUAAAAUUUAGGAGCAGGAGGGUUAAGCUUCUUGUUCAAUAAAUUCGUUAUAAUAGUUUUAUAAAUUAUAAAAAUAAUCUAAGCUUAGAAGUAGCUACGAUAGCAAAGUGUUUAAAAUGAGUUAAAAAUUAGGAUUAUAUAACUUUAAAUAGUAUUAAGAUAUUUGAGUAACAAGAAAAAAAAAGUAACUCUGAUUUUAUAAGUAGAGAAUAAUAUUAUAAUAAAAUAAUAGAAUAAAAAUUUGAUUAUAAGUUAAUAUGGUGAUAAUUAGAGGAAUUCGGCAAAUAUAAUUUCUUGCCUGUUUAUCAAAAACAUGUCUAUUACGGAGUUAUUAAUAGUCUGGCCUGCUCCCUGACUAUAAAGUUAAAGAGCCGCGGUAAUUUGACCGUGCAAAGGUAGCAUAAUCAUUAGUUUCUUAAUUGGGAACUUGUAUGAAAGGUUUGACAAAGAAAAAGCUGUCUUUAUUAUGAGUGUUGAACUUAACUUUUAAGUGAAAAGGCUUAAAUAAUUUAGAGGGACGAUAAGACCCUAUAAAACUUUAUAUAAAAGAUAAUUAAAACUGAGUUUAUAAUAAAAGUUUAAAUUAGUUAUUAUAUUUUAUUGGGGUGAUAUUAAUAAAAAUAAUAUUAACUGUUAAAAAGGAAUACGUAAAUAAAAGAGUUAAAUUGUUGAUGAUCCUUAUUUAAAGAUUAAAAGAUUAAGUUACUUUAGGGAUAACAGCGUAAUUUUUCUUAAGAGUUCAUAUCGAAAGAAAAGAUUUCGACCUCGAUGUUGAAUUAAGAUAUCUGUGUAAAGCAGCUAUUACAUAAGAAGGUCUGUUCGACCUUUAAACUUUUACAUGAUUUGAGUUCAGACCGGCGCGAGCCAGGUCGGUUUCUAUCUUCUAAAGAAUGAAUAAACCGUUUUAGUACGAAAGGAUUUAAUGGUUUUAAAAAUUAAAAAGCU
rnacentral:rRNA from 1 species